ensembl:lncRNA
AGGAGAAGUGCUCUUUAUCCUGUAUGUUGGAGCCUUUGGGACUGGAGCAGGGUCAUGGGGUAGCCUGGAGCCUAUCUCAGGGAACUUAGGACAUAAUGUGUAGGAUAUCCUGGACAGGGUGCCAACCCAUCGCAGAGCACAAUUGCACACACUCACACACUACGGACAAUUUGGAAAUGCCAGUCAGCCUUCAACACAUGUAUUUGGACUGUAAAGCCAGAGUACCUGGAGGAAAUCCCUGAAGCACGGAAGGAACAAAAAAAAAAGUUCCACACAUGGCAA